GUGUGGAAAACACACUGUCUUUAUUCAACCGUCUCUGUCGUGUCACUGCUGCUGAUGCACGUUCGCUCAAUACUUCAGCAGUCGAUUGCUUUUCAUUCGUUUGUGGCUUCGUUUCAUUUGAUUUGUUUGUUUAUAUGUUGGUGAAGAUGAGAAGCUGCACAUAAACAAACACCAUGAGAUCAUCUUUUACCAGACUGCUGCCUCUGCCAAAUCCCUCGUUACUAUGGCAACUCCCUGGGGAAAACACUGUGAAGUGUGUGUGUACAUUUGAUUAAAUGCCGCUUCAGUCAACAGUGGACAGACA